rnacentral:rRNA from 1 species
GAUGAACGCUGGCGGCGUGCCUAAUACAUGCAAGUCGAGCGAACGGACGAGAAGCUUGCUUCUCUGAUGUUAGCGGCGGACGGGUGAGUAACACGUGAAUAACCUACCUGUAAGACUGGGAUAACUUCGGGAAACCGGAGCUAAUACCGGAUAAUAUUUUGAACCGCAUGGUUCAAAAGUGAAAGACGGUCUUGCUGUCACUUAUAGAUGGAUCCGCGCUGCAUUAGCUAGUUGGUAAGGUAACGGCUUACCAAGGCAACGAUGCAUAGCCGACCUGAGAGGGUGAUCGGCCACACUGGAACUGAGACACGGUCCAGACUCCUACGGGAGGCAGCAGUAGGGAAUCUUCCGCAAUGGGCGAAAGCCUGACGGAGCAACGCCGCGUGAGUGAUGAAGGUCUUCGGAUCGUAAAACUCUGUUAUUAGGGAAGAACAUAUGUGUAAGUAACUGUGCACAUCUUGACGGUACCUAAUCAGAAAGCCACGGCUAACUACGUGCCAGCAGCCGCGGUAAUACGUAUGUGGCAAGCGUUAUCCGGAAUUAUUGGGCGUAAAGCGCGCGUAGCGGUUUUUUAGUCUGAUGUGAAAGCCCACGGCUCAACCGUGGAGGGUCAUUGGAAACUGGAAAACUUGAGUGCAGAAGAGGAAAGUGGAAUUCCAUGUGUAGCGGUGAAAUGCGCAGAGAUAUGGAGGAACACCAGUGGCGAAGGCGACUUUCUGGUCUGUAACUGACGCUGAUGUGCGAAAGCGUGGGGAUCAAACAGGAUUAGAUACCCUGGUAGUCCACGCCGUAAACGAUGAGUGCUAAGUGUUAGGGGGUUUCCGCCCCUUAGUGCCGCAGCUAACGCAUUAAGCACUCCGCCUGGGGAGUACGACCGCAAGGUUGAAACUCAAAGGAAUUGACGGGGACCCGCACAAGCGGUGGAGCAUGUGGUUUAAUUCGAAGCAACGCGAAGAACCUUACCAAAUCUUGACAUCCUUUGACAACUCUAGAGAUAGAGCUUUCCCCUUCGGGGGACAAAGUGACAGGUGGUGCAUGGUUGUCGUCAGCUCGUGUCGUGAGAUGUUGGGUUAAGUCCCGCAACGAGCGCAACCCUUAAGCUUAGUUGCCAUCAUUAAGUUGGGCACUCUAAGUUGACUGCCGGUGACAAACCGGAGGAAGGUGGGGAUGACGUCAAAUCAUCAUGCCCCUUAUGAUUUGGGCUACACACGUGCUACAAUGGACAAUACAAAGGGCAGCGAAACCGCGAGGUCAAGCAAAUCCCAUAAAGUUGUUCUCAGUUCGGAUUGUAGUCUGCAACUCGACUACAUGAAGCUGGAAUCGCUAGUAAUCGUAGAUCAGCAUGCUACGGUGAAUACGUUCCCGGGUCU